UAGUGGCGAACGGGUGAGUAACACGUGGGCAAUCUGCCCUUCACUCUGGGACAAGCCCUGGAAACGGGGUCUAAUACCGGAUAAUACCUGCCUGGGCAUCUGGGUGGGUUGAAAGCUCCGGCGGUGAAGGAUGAGCCCGCGGCCUAUCAGCUUGUUGGUGAGGUAGUGGCUCACCAAGGCGACGACGGGUAGCCGGCCUGAGAGGGCGACCGGCCACACUGGGACUGAGACACGGCCCAGACUCCUACGGGAGGCAGCAGUGGGGAAUAUUGCACAAUGGGCGGAAGCCUGAUGCAGCGACGCCGCGUGAGGGAUGACGGCCUUCGGGUUGUAAACCUCUUUCAGCAGGGAAGAAGCGCAAGUGACGGUACCUGCAGAAGAAGCGCCGGCUAACUACGUGCCAGCAGCCGCGGUAAUACGUAGGGCGCAAGCGUUGUCCGGAAUUAUUGGGCGUAAAGAGCUCGUAGGCGGCUUGUCGCGUCGGUUGUGAAAGCCCGGGGCUUAACCCCC
rnacentral:rRNA from 1 species